rnacentral:rRNA from 1 species
UGGGGAAUUUUGGACAAUGGGCGAAAGCCUGAUCCAGCCAUGCCGCGUGAGUGAAGAAGGCCUUCGGGUUGUAAAGCUCUUUUAGUCGGAAAGAAAGAGUUGCAAUGAAUAAUUGUGAUUUAUGACGGUACCGACAGAAAAAGCACCGGCUAACUACGUGCCAGCAGCCGCGGUAAUACGUAGGGGGCGAGCGUUAAUCGGAAUUACUGGGCGUAAAGGGUGCGCAGGCGGUCUGGCAAGUCAGAUGUGAAAGCCCCGGGCUUAACCUGGGAAUUGCGUUUGAAACUACAAGGCUAGAGUGCAGCAGAGGGGAGUGGAAUUCCAUGUGUAGCAGUGAAAUGCGUAGAGAUGUGGAAGAACACCGAUGGCGAAGGCAGCUCCCUGGGUUGACACUGACGCUCAUGCACGAAAGCGUGGGGAGCAAACA